AUGACCCCUACGACCGGCAGCUGCAGAACCGGUCAGACCGUGGAAGCACAUUACUCAAACAUGAUUCCAAGAAGGACCAGGAUGGGAUGCCAAUGCCGGGAGCCCAUGGACUCUGCUCUCCCAAAUGUGCGCGCUCGGGAAGCUGGCACAGCAGCGGGGCAUCCGGACAAGGUGCCUCCACGCCCCCUCGCGGACGCGACCGAUGACCGACCCGGCCGUGCCAAUUUCGCGGUGGGAUCUAUUAAAUGUAAGCCUUUUCUUGCGGCUUGCUCUACUCACCUGCAUCCUGCCUUCUGGCUGUUCCCGUGCUUGGAGCCAGUGCUUCUCAAACUUUUGGGAGAUGAGGACCAGAUAAAGGUCACCUUGGCAGACUGCCCUUUUAGGAGCACUGGUUAAGGGUAAGCUGCAAUGUGAGAAGACGAACUUGAAUAGAAGGAAUGAGAGAGUAUGGUCCGCUCUGAAGCUUAAUAACAGGUAGCUCUGGGUGGUGGUGUUGCCUCUUCGUGGACACCAGUAUUGCUCCCACAUGAUCUUAAAGACAAACUCAAACCCCACCUUCUCUGAGCUGUCUUCCUGUGCUCCCUCAAACGCUGUGUUGUUCUUCCCUGUGCCUCGCAUGGUGUCAGAAGGUCGACGUUGCUACUCCCAUGCGUGGUCUCCUCCCAUGAAUGGGAGUCUCUCUUCCUCAGCUGCCAUGAUUUUUAUUCCCUUUCUGUGGAUAGAAGCAAAUGGAUGGGUUGAGUAUGAGCCUGUCUAGAGAUUUCUGUUGAUAGAUCCUUUAAGAAGGAAAAAAUAGAAGUGGAUGGAACUAGAGGGUAUUAUGCUCAAUAAUAAAAAUAAGUCAAUCAGAGAAAGACAAUCAUCAUCUGAUCUCCGUGAUACGAGGAAGUGGAGAUGCAACAUGGGGAGUUUGGGAGGUAGGAAAGGAAUAAAUGAAACAAGAUGGGAUCAGGAGGGAGACAAACCACAAGAGACUCUUAAUCUCACAAAAUAAAUCGAGGGUUGGGGGGGGCGCGUAGGGAGAGGGAGGUGGGGUUAUAAACACUGGGGAAGGUAUGUGCUAUGGUGAGUGCUGUGAAGUGUGUAAACCUGGCGAUUCACAGACCUGGACCCCUGGGGCUAAUAAUACAUUGUAUGUUAAUUUUAAAAAAAUUGUAAAUAAAAAAAAAAGGAAAAAAUAAAUGUAAAUAAAAUAAAAUGUUCGUGUG
rnacentral:lncRNA from 1 species